CAAAAUGUUACCAAAGUAUUAAAUAAUGUUUUGUGACAAUCUUUGGGCCGAUGCACCUCCUAUAUAUCCUCUUGGAACCAAGUUGAAAAUGAUCUUUGACUGGCAAUUUGAUGGUCCUGCAUCAUUCGAUGGUCCUGCAUAAUUCGAUGGUCCUGCAUUAUUGGAUUAAAUUUUCUAUUUUAUGCAUAAUCUUCUUUUCAAAGGAUCUUUAAAAUGCUAGUGCUUCUUGGAUAUGUACUUCAUGGAUAUGUACUUUAUGGGUGUGUACUUCAUGAAUAUGUACUUCAUGGUUAUGUACUUCAUGGAUAUGUACAUUUUUUACUUGAAAUUGAAAAUAGUGUGCUAAAAACUGCUCUAUCAAUGCUACAAUUUGGAAACACAAACCUUAGCAAACAAGACUGUUGUUUGGAGAAUCAAACUAAGCACAGUAAAAAAUUUAGUAUAGUAAGUGGGCGGGGCAGAUAUUUGACCAGGGUCAGGUUUAAUAAACUAUAGUCAGGGCCGGGGUUAUGGCCAAUUUAUUGGAGGAUUUAGCUCAAUACUUGUCGCUUACAAAGCAACUGCUCUACUACUACAUAAAUUUUGUGAUAUUUAUAAUACUAUUAAUAAAACUACAUUUUUAAUAAAAGUACAUUUAUACUAUAAAUAAUAAUAAUAACAAUGAUGAAAAAAUGAAAAACAAAAUUACCUCGUGAAAAAAUAGUUUUUAUAUCUGUUGCACUUAAAAUUUCAUUAGAUGUGACAGUAGUGUAAUAUAGCCAUGGCAUAGUGGCUG